rnacentral:lncRNA from 1 species
GCUGUACGAGAACGUGGUGUUCCACCUGCUGUGGGUGAUCGAGUCGGUCGUCGUCCUCGCCAAGCUCUGCUUCUUCUUCCUGCGCUUCGGCUUUCGCUUGUGACCACGCCCAGAUGUGAUUGGUGAUAUGGCAGAUGAACAUCUGCUAAAUCUUGCCCCAAAAAAAAAUGUCUCUCCUUGAAGAAAUGUCAAUCAUGUGUGCUUCUGCAUGCCUGCCACAAUUGCCAUCCACUCUGUCACGCUCAGCUGCUGUUAUUAUCUUUUUAAGAUAGGAGAUCAGUUGCAUUGAUUCGGCUUUGCAAGAAAGCCCAAAGAAAAUAUCUGUACUUUCUUAAUAACAGUAAAAUUUCUCAGAAAACAAAGGGGAAAAACAGAAAAGGACUCGAGCUCAGCUGAUAGUCCAUAAUCGCAUCUCACCACUUUCCCAGGGUAGCUCGAUCUUCAUUCUCUUGUAGCAUGAGGCAUCUAUGUACGAAAGGCAAUGCUUUAUAAAUGAGAAAUUUGAUUUUUUAACACUAG